CCUACGGGAGGCAGCAGUGGGGAAUCUUGGGCAAUGGGCGCAAGCCUGACCCAGCCACGCCGCGUGGAGGAAGACACCCCUAUGGGGCGUAAACUCCUUUUAUAUGGGAAGAAGGUCCCGUUCUUCGGGAUUUGACGGUACCAUACGAAUAAGCACCGGCUAACUCCGUGCCAGCAGCCGCGGUAAUACGGAGGGUGCAAGCGUUGUCCGAAUUCACUGGGUGUAAAGGGUGUGUAGGCGGGGCAGUAAGUCAGAGGUGAAAGCCCACGGCCCAACCGUGGAAUUGCCUUUGAUACUGCUGUUCUUGAGUCUCGGAGAGGUCGCCGGAAUUCGUGGUGUAGCGGUGAAAUGCGUAGAUAUCACGAGGAACACCAGAGGCGUAGGCGGGCGACUGGACGAGUACUGACGCUGAGGCACGAAAGCGUGGGGAGCAAACAGGAUUAGAUACCCUGGUAGUCCACGCUGUAAACGAUGGAUGCUCGGUGUUGGCCUCCUUAGUGAGGUCAGCGCCUAAGCUAACGCGUUAAGCAUCCCACCUGGGGAGUACGCUCGCAAGAGUGAAACUCAAAGGAAUUGACGG
rnacentral:rRNA from 1 species